AUUAUAUAUCAUGACUUAAAGAAAAUUAUUUUCUAAUAAAAGUGAAAUUAGAAUUUAUAGGCAUUAUAUUCAUGAUUAGUUUUUUUAAUGCCAGUUCUCAAUCAUUUACUAAUCUCUGAACAGUUGUGCCACUACAGACCAUUUUGUAGUUCUGGGCCUUAAGGCAGAAUACAUAUGUUUGUUAACAAGUUGAAUCUUAAUAUACAAUUGUUUUACACAAUCAAUGAGAGCAUCUCAACGUACAACUGUUUCUUUACAAGGCUGAAUCUCAAUAUAAUGAUGUCUGUUGACUCUCAGAAACACUUAGCAAGAGCCUCUCAAAAUCAUCGUCAGUAUGUUAUGAAGAUGACAUUAAUUGCACAACAAAACAACUUGGGAGCAAGAGUAUUUUGUAUUAGCCAAUCAAAAUACUUCUAUGGAAAGUU
rnacentral:lncRNA from 1 species